rnacentral:rRNA from 1 species
AGCUCCAAUAGCGUAUAUUAAAGUUGUUGCAGUUAAAAAGCUCGUAGUUGGAUUUCUGGUAGGAGUGACCGUUCCGAACUUGAUUGUUCGUGUAUUGUGUUUUCUCCAGCCAUCCUUGUGGAGAACUUUUCUUGCAUUAAUUUGUAGGGAUUGGGACCCGCAUCGUUUACUGUGAAAAAAUUAGAGUGUUCAAAGCAGGCUUAGGCCGUUGGAUACAUUAGCAUGGAAUAAUGAGAUAGGGCCACGACGGUCUAUUUUGUUGGUUUGCACGUUGUGGUAAUGAUUAACAGGAACGGUUGGGGGUAUUCGUAUUCAAUUGUCAGAGGUGAAAUUCUUGGAUUUAUGGAAGACGAACUACUGCGAAAGCAUUUACCAUGGAUGUUUUCAUUAAUCAAGAACG